rnacentral:rRNA from 1 species
GACGAACGCUGGCGGCGUGCUUAACACAUGCAAGUCGAACGGAAAGGCCUGCUUUCCCUUGUGGAUUGCGGGUACUCGAGUGGCGAACGGGUGAGUAACACGUGAGUGAUCUGCCCCCAACUUGGGUAUAAGCCUGGGAAACUGGGUCUAAUUCCCGAUAGGACUGCAGGGUGGUGCCUGUGGUGGAAAACGAUUUUCUAGUGGUUGGGGAUGAGCUCGCGGCCUAUCAGCUUGUUGGUGGGGUAAUGGCCUACCAAGGCGGCGACGGGUAGCCGGCCUGAGAGGGUGCACGGCCACAUUGGGACCGAGACACGGCCCAGACUCCUACGGGAGGCAGCAGUGGGGAAUAUUGCACAAUGGGCGGAAGCCUGAUGCAGCGACGCCGCGUGGGGGAUGACGGCCUUCGGGUUGUAAACUCCUUUCGACCGCGAGGAAGCCACCUGGUUGGAAGGGUGGUGACGGUAGUGGUAGAAGAAGCACCGGCUAACUACGUG